GUGGGGAAUAUUGGACAAUGGGCGAAAGCCUGAUCCAGCCAUGCCGCGUGUGUGAAGAAGGUCUUCGGAUUGUAAAGCACUUUAAGUUGGGAGGAAGGGCAGUAAGUUAAUACCUUGCUGUUUUGACGUUACCGACAGAAUAAGCACCGGCUAACUUCGUGCCAGCAGCCGCGGUAAUACGAAGGGUGCAAGCGUUAAUCGGAAUUACUGGGCGUAAAGCGCGCGUAGGUGGUUCAGCAAGUUGAAGGUGAAAUCCCCGGGCUCAACCUGGGAACUGCCUCCAGAACUACUGAGCUAGAGUACGGUAGAGGGUAGUGGAAUUUCCUGUGUAGCGGUGAAAUGCGUAGAUAUAGGAAGGAACACCAGUGGCGAAGGCGACUACCUGGACUGAUACUGACACUGAGGUGCGAAAGCGUGGGGAGCAAACAGGAUUAGAUACCCGGGUAGUCC
rnacentral:rRNA from 1 species